ensembl:lncRNA
GCUUCAUUGGGUCCUGUCCAUUGCAGAAGGUGUCUAUGUGUGUUUGUUUUGUCUUCCAGUCUGCUGGACCAUCUCUAGCUGUAAUCAGCCAAGGUCAAAGAUGAAGGUUUUCGUACAACACUGUGAUAUGCAAGACUGAUGUCCUCAUUUGUUGAGGACUACUGGCUCAUUGUAGACCUCCAACAUUCCAAUUACAGGAGAAUAAAAAGCAAACCUGAGAUUUGCUUUGCCUCAACCUCAUUUUACAUCAUUAGACAGAAUGCUGAUGAACCAGGUAAUUUAAACAGAUAAAACGCUCAUUGAGUCAUUGAAAAAUUAAUAACGUAAAAACAUUGUGUCUGAUCUACUCUGCCUCCCUUCCCACAUGGUCAUUCCCAAUUCUGUUUUAAAUGUUUUCCCCAUACAUGCCAUUUCAAAGUUUUGGAUGGAUUACAAAAAAGUACCUGAACAAAUAGCUAAUGUAUCAACAUGCAUAGUUGGGUCAUAGUCUUACAAUUAUUUACAAUUACCUGCAUGAAAGAGUGCUUUUUUCCAGCUUUGUUUUGCUUCUUUGUUUGGCUUUUGUUCUUUGUUGCAAAUGUGGAAAGGUUGCUUGAUGCAUUUCAAAGGAUACACAGGACAUGCAUUUUAAAGAGAGUGAAUGAAACCUUCAAACCAAAAGCCAAACCCCUAUGAGCACUGGCAGAGGACUAUGCCUCCUUCUCUGGAACACUUCAACCUGGAUAUCACUCGUACCAUCCAUCAUAGAAGACAUAUCAACAAGGGCUUUCUUUCUGUGAUCCAUCAUAACAUCUGCUAGACCCUGGAUUGUAAGUUAUUGCUCUAAAUAGUAUUAGCAUAAAAAGUAUACUCAAAAAGGACAAUAUGGCUCUCUGUGUCCAAAAGUAGGAUAAACAAAGAUGUCAUAGAGAUACAGUCGACCACUUGUCCCAGAGAACAACAAAUAGUCUAGAAGAGUGCAGCACAUUGGAAGACACUGAUUAACAAACCCUUGAGAUAACAUUAGUCAGAAGCAGAUUCCACAAGGGAUGUACAAUCUUUGUCAGUCUCCAUGGGAGAAUCCAUGUUUGUAAAGGGGCAUGUGAUAACCUAUAAAACUUAGUGGCAUGGGUCACUCCAGUCAAGUUGUGGAGGGACUCCGCCAUCCUUUCUGUUAUUAUUAUAUAUGGCAAAAUUUCCCAGCAUACAUUGCCUUCAGGAUAUGACAUGCGCCCAUCUAUACCUCAUCAAAGCCAGGCUACAGACCUCUGCAUAAUAUAUACUUCUAACACUAAAGUUGGAAUAAUGGGAAAACACUAAUUAACCUUGGCUGAAAGAGUGAGCCCCUGGAGAGACAGCUUUAUAACAGGAG